CAGAUGACGAUAACCUGGAAUUAGAAACAUUGAAGAGUGAAUCAGAAAAUGGUGCUCACUUAGAUAAACAGCGAAAAGGAGCUUUGAAGAAACUGAUUCAUGCUGCUAAGUUAAAUUCUUCUUUAAAAACUCUAGAAGGAGAAAGAUACCAAAUUUACACUCAGUUGUCUGAAGUAGAUAAAACAAAGGAAGAUUUUGCGGAGCCUAUUAAAAAUCUCCAGACUGAACAAGCAUCUUUACAGUCAGAAAACACACAGUUUGAAAGUGAGAAUCAGAAGCUUCAACAGAAACUUAAAGUAAUGACUGAACUGUAUCAAGAAAGUGAAAUGAAGCUACACAGGAAAUUAACAGUAGAGGAAAAUUACCUGUUAGAGAAAGAGGAGAAACUUUCCAAAGUAGAUGAAAACAUCAACUAUGCUGCUGAAGAGCUGGAGACCUAUAGAAAGCGAGUCAAAGAUCUUGAAGAACAAUUGGAGAGAAGCAUUCAUUCUUAUCAAGGGCAGAUUAUGUCCCAUGAGAAAAAAGCACAGGAUAAUUGGUUGGCAGCUCAAACCACUGAAAAAAUUCUCAAUGAUUUAAGGAAAAAAAAUCCUCACACCAGACAAAAAUUAACUGAAGCAGAGUUUAAAUCUGAACUUUUAGAAAAGGAUCCUCAUGCACUUGAUAUUCCAAAUACAGCAUUUGGCAGAGAGCAUUCCACAUAUGGUCCCUCACCAUCGGGCCGGCCUUCAUCUGAAACGGGAGCUUUUCUC